UACGUAGGGUGCAAGCGUUAAUCGGAAUUACUGGGCGUAAAGCGUGCGCAGGCGGUUUUGUAAGUCUGUCGUGAAAGCCCCGGGCUCAACCUGGGAAUUGCGAUGGAGACUGCAAGGCUUGAAUCUGGCAGAGGGGGGUAGAAUUCCACGUGUAGCAGUGAAAUGCGUAGAGAUGUGGAGGAACACCGAUGGCGAAGGCAGCUCGCUGGGACGUUACUGACACUAAGGCGCGAAAGCGUGGGGAGCGAACAGG
rnacentral:rRNA from 1 species